rnacentral:tRNA from 1 species
GCCCGAGUGGUGGAAUGGUAGACACGACAGAUUCAAAAUCUGUUGCCGCGAGGCGUGUCGGUUCGAGUCCGACCUCGGGUA